AAGGCCUCGGUUGUAACCGCUUUGUCAGGGAAGAAAUCCUUUGAGCUAAUACCUCGGGGGAUGACGGUACCUGAAGAAUAAGCACCGGCUAACUACGUGC
rnacentral:rRNA from 1 species